GAAGUUAAUGCCGAUAUACAAACAUGGAAUUUGGUGAAGGGAUUUCGAAAAGGUGCUGAAGAAAAACCGCAAAUUCAUAGUGACAAACUUUUUGUUUAUUUAUUAU